rnacentral:rRNA from 1 species
UACAGAGGUCUCAAGCGUUGUUCGGAUUCAUUGGGCGUAAAGGGUGCGUAGGUGGCGCUGUAAGUCGGGUGUGAAAUUUCGGAGCUUAACUCCGAAACUGCAUUCGAUACUGCGGUGCUUGAGGACUGGAGAGGAGACUGGAAUUCAUGGUGUAGCAGUGAAAUGCGUAGAGAUCAUGAGGAAGACCAGUGGCGAAGGCGGGUCUCUGGACAGUUCCUGACACUGAGGCACGAAAGCCAGGGGAGCAAACGGG